rnacentral:lncRNA from 1 species
CUUCUGCCUGUGAUGCAUCCCCUAUUAACAUUCAGAGAUCCACCCUGAAAAUGAAGGCAACUGUUUGGAGAACAAUGCAAAAUGCUGAGAGCUAUACCAUAAUAUGUCCCCUUUUUUGUUAACAUUUCUUAAAAUGGUAAGUCUUAAUAAUAACCGCCUCUCUUUCUGAGAAAGGAGGGUUUCUAAAAUAUCUUAUAGACAUGGGAAUCACUUUUUAUGAGGUUAUAGUGGAGCAAUAAAUACAGUUAAAUUAGUAAAACUCCAUUGUUUUUACAAUUGAUAGAAUGAUGUUAUUGUCCAUAAUGUAGUAACAGAUUAGGGAAUAGAUUUUAAGAUAAAUAAGAUGAAAGUAAUUUGAAGUCAUCAUCAAUUACCCCCAUGUGACUCCCAUGAGUAAAUUAAAAAUCCACUCAGAAUGGUGUUGGAUUUGAAUUACUAGAACAGGGAUAGAUGUUUUUUGUUGCUGUUGUUUUUAAUGCAUCGAUGCACAUAAACCUCUACUUGCAAAAGCCCCAGAAGUAUAUUGGGUAAUUAAAAAAAAAAAGGCUUGUAUUCUAUUUGCUUAAUGAUUUAAAAUUUCUCUACAAAAAGUGACCUCUGAAGCUAACAUUUCUACGAAGAGAAAAAAAAAUAAUUUGAUUCUAUAUAAUUUUGUGAAAGGAGAGAAAGAUUAAACAAAAGUUUUGAAAUGUUACGUACAUUAAAUUUAAUCUACAUAUGCAUUCACAUAUACACACAAUGUGUAUAUGUUGGUGUGUGUAUAGAUAUAUAAAAAUGUGGCCUAAAUAGUGCUAAUCACAUUCUAUAAGAAACUACUAAAAUUGGAAUUCUGAAAAGAUAAGCCAUAGCAUUAUUUUAAAAAGCAAAGCACAUUGUCUUUUAAUUUAUGUCCAUGAAAAGCACACCAGUAGCAGUGUCUAGGCAUGUGCAAUCAUUUGAUAACAGGUAUAAGAUUCUUUUGGGGUGAGCAGAAUUCACAUUAGAUUCAAAGUGAUAAUAUGUUAAGUUUUGACAUAUUCUUGUUUAUUUAAAUCUGCAUUCUGAUGAUCACCUUUCAAAGAGGUAACAAAUAUAUGAAUAUGCGAUCCAGUGAUUAUAUAUUCAAAUUAAUCCAGUUUCUUUGAAUAUGGUCCAAUGAUUGAAUGAGCCUCCAAACACUGUCACUCCUCAGGGAAAUACGCUGAUGCACAUUUUCUCAAAGCCUGGAGAAGACGAGUUCUGCCAAGGAAUGCCUUGAAGCAUGGAAACUCUGCUCUACCUAAACACAAGUCCUAGGCUUUAAUCACAAUGGCUAGGUUCACACUAAAGCAAUUAACCAUAUGAUUGCUUUCUCAGGAGCCCAACCUCAUCAGUAUCUUUCCUUCAGGCAAACUGACAAGGCUGGAUGUAGUCAAUGACUCAAGUAGAUUUGAUUACCUAAGAGGGACAAAUCUCUGAAUACGCAAAUGCAGAGUAGGAAUAGUCACCUCAGUCUAUUUUUUAGAAGUAGCCAUUUCACAAUCCACCUUUUACUUUUAAAUGAUGGAGGUAAAAUGAUUGUUCCACUAAACAAGAGUUGGCAAGUUUUAGAAUGAAGAUUGAGACCAAAUAAUCAUGGCCUAUUGUAUAGUUGGUUGUUUUUUGUUUGUUUUGUUUGUUUUGGCAGGAACUAGGAAUGGCCAUGAUAGCUCUCAAAAUCUUAAAAUAGUUACUUGAGAAUUGGAGGGAGGCAAAAAUCCUUAAGGAAUGUAAUUUGUAAUUGAAUAGCAGCUGUAGAGAAGGUUUGAAAGAUGUGUGUGUGUGUAAGUAUGUGUGUGUACACAUACAUGUGUAAAUUCCUGUGUCGUUUUAGGUCUAUUGUCACAAGUCAGUGCUAGACUUGGUGAUAUAUCAAGUGUGAACCUGAAGCUUUCUAGCAUCUUCUUCUUUGUAUCCUAUUUGGAAGUUUUUGCCAGCAUAACAAAUUUUUUUGGUUACUAUCAACUGGAAUGAUUUUUUCAAAAAUGAGGCACUAACAGAUUUUAAAUGUUUUUCCCACUUAAAAACUGGGUAUGAAUACAAGAUCUGAGCAAUAUAAGUUUUCCAAUGUGUUUGUAAUUUCUUCGCACUUUUUAAAGAUUAUCCUAAAUACUCCUUAAAUGAAAUUAAAAUGCACUAGACAACAGGUAACAUACCUCCCAACGAUGCUAAGGAUUUCAUGCUUCCCAUAUAUAUUGGCCAGAAAUCUGGGAGGUUAUGUGGUCUGAUGAGCCUCACUGGGGCUAUAUCCUAUCCUGGAAUGCCAGUGUACAUACUGCUAUGAAAAACUUGUUGAAAUCAUGAGACUGACUCUGAAAAAGAUUUCCACAAUUUGGAAUUCAUCAGUUGGUUUUAUCACCUUCAGUGAAAGUACACCCAUGGACUUGGGUCUUGAUAAUGUUAGAAGCCUCUUAAAUAAAAGCACUUACACAAAUAAUAGGCAGAUUGGACUUCCUGUUGUGGCUCAGUGGGUUAAGAACCCAACCAGUAUCCAUGAGGAUGUGGGUUCGAUCCCUGGCCUUGCUCAGUGUGUUAUAGAUCCAGUAUUGCUGCACGUUGUGGCUUACACUGAAAAUGCGGCUUGGAUCCUGAGUUGCUGUGGAUGUGGCAUAGGCCGGCAGGUGGAGCUCCAAUUUGACCUCUAGCCUGGGAACUUCCAUAGCCUUAAAAAAAAAAAAAGAGAUUUUUUUUGUUGUUGUUGUUGUUAAGAUGAUUUGUCUUGCAUCAAAGAUUUUAUCAAAGUUGGCAAAAAAUUUUUUCCAAAGUCUGUAAUUGUCCUGGCUCUUCCUAUCCACAGCAGAAUGUUCUGAGAAUCUAGAUGAGCCACGGAGUGUCUGGGGCACAGGAGGUAAAGUACCUAGGUAUCUGAGGGAAAAAAAAAUUUCUCUCACCGUCAUUGAGAGAACAAACCAGAUGGAGAUCAAACAGACAUGACCUUAUAGUCUAGAGAACACAACCACCUAUCUCUUUUUUCCCCUCUUUUUUCUGUUCUUAAAGAAAAAUAGACAUAUAUAAAUAAAUCUAGAGAAAGUAGUUACGAAAAAAAAUUGGCAAUAUGGCAUAUAAUUCCAGCCUGUUUGAGGGGCUGAUGAAAAGGUAAAUGUGUCUGUACCCUCCUUGCAUUGGCCUCUGGAUGAAGUAAAAGAGGCUGUGUCUCUCCACAACCCAGUGCUCACAGCCCAUGCUCCUCCUUCAACCUAUUCUGGGCGGUGGAUUCCCCUGUGCUCUUUGUGCACUUUAAGUUUAAUUUUGCAUUUAAAAACUCAAUUGGCUCAUCUGUUAAGCAUUAAGCAGCUCCCUUUUGAGCCACAGGGGGAGCCCUGGGAAAACCCACAGCUGCUGGAACAUGGAAAAUGGGUUUAAAAAAACAAAACCAUUUUGAAACUUUAAAGCAUUUUAGCAGCCGUGGAUUUCCCAAUUCUUACCCCCCAAAUGGUUCAUCUGUUUAACUUUUAUCUGGUAUUGGAACACACAAACCAGAGCAUUAAAUAGCCCUCAAAUGACUUUUUGUUUAAUACAAAAUGAAAGCAAGAGCUAAAGCAAGCCAUGUGGGAGGAACUUUCAGAGAGCUAUGGCCUGAAAUACCUGCAGGCAUAUUCUCCCUCCAGUUAUAGAAACAUUUCUGAAAUGCAGCCAUGCCCAAUGGAACCACAACUUCCCUCUACUCACGUAAAUGUGCCCCCCACACACAAAAAAGGGGGGAGAAAACACGUCCCAGACAAGUCCAACUUCCAGCCUAUAAAAUGACAAUAAAAUUGAUGGAAAAGUUAAUAGGCUGGGGAUAUUCAUGAAAUGCUCCAUCAAGAUUUUAAGUUUCAUUAUGAUUUGUCAUUGACUAAAAAUUCAUGUCUAAUGACAGUUGGCUAGGCUAUAGAUAAACAUAAAUUAUCAUUAUUAUUCCAGGUUCCCCAUUUAUUCCCCUAACUAACCUGAAGUCUCCCUGUGGUAGAGUCCCAAAGCGUAUGAGUGGUGGGCCUUGGAAUGAUGGUAAAACACUCCUACUAAAAUAGAAAUUUUUUUUUGGAAGGGUGGCAACUGUUAGCCUGUCGCCUGAAAAAAUUUCUUCAUUCCUGGGUGGAGUCUGCAAAGAGAAGUGCAGUGUAACCAAGAGAUAGCGUGCAUCACAUAUGCCCUGGAGCAUGCGAGUGAGGAAAAAACCUAUACAAGGGUCCCUCCUAAGGGCUAACCUGCGUUAAACAACAAGGCAACAGGCCCCAAACAGAGUCACUUAUGCUAAGCUUCACGUCACCAAAUAAAGACUUAAUUAUAGGUUUGUUCUCCCAGAAGUGGAAUCUUAAACCAGUCAGGAAUCUCCUGACCAGCACUAGUUAAAUAAUCCGCCGGAUAGACCCCUGCUCUCCCCUCACGGAAAGUAAUCUUGCAAUAAUCAACUGUUUUUUGUUUUUUGUUUUUUUUUUUUUUUUGCCUGGAAUAACUUCCUUGUUUCUGCUCUCUCCUCUGCCUCCUACAAAAGUCUUUUUUUUUUUUUUUUCCCCCAGCUCCUCAGAACUUCUUUUUCUCUGUUACAUUGGAGGCUGCCCAAUUCUAAUUGAAUUUUGCUCCAAUAAACUUUUCAAUUUUUAAUAUGCCUCACUUUGCCUUUUGACACCCGAUUGGAAGGAGAAAAGGGAAAUUCAUGUGGUAGAAGAGGAGUGCUUAUAAUGAAGUUGGAAAGACACAAAGGAAAUUCAUCUAAUUGUUUAGUAUGGCUCGGCCUUGAUGAGAAUCUCUGAAUUCUUAUAAAGAGUUCAUGUGUUAACGCAUAGGGAAUAUGAUAGUCCAAAGCUGUCAGAGAAACCAAGUCCAAAUAUGAUUCCUCUGAAAGCAUUCAUUCUAUUGGUCAAUGUCAGAUUCAGGUGUAAAAUUAUGUGAUUCCUGAUUUUCAAUCCAAUUUUUAUCUUGGGAUAUCUUCUUUGAGGUGUCAAAAAUCGCUUGCUAUGGGGAUGGAGUGAUUAGUUUGUGAGAAUUUUCUACCUUGAACUUUUAAAUAAACAUUGGAUUUUCAAAGUCCUCAAUUUCAAUUUUAUUUCAUAGUAUUCUCUCUCCCUCUCUUUUUCUCUCUCUUUCUCUGUUUACCCCACCCUGUCUCGACUAUAUCCAUGAAUUUUUUAAUAUACCGAUAUGGCACAAUUAUAAGGGAUUAAGUAUAGUCUAUAUCAUCUUAAAAGAGUAGGUAUUAGGAAAGUGGUAAAGUAAAAUUAUAAUGCAAAAGUAGUACAUGGUACUCAAGCCAGAUAUAUACACCAACACAUUCCAAAAUUAUAAAGAAUUUCAGUAAUGUCUUCAAUUUUAAAAGACCAGAAAAGAGGUCUACUUUCCUUAUGAUCAAACUCAAACCUUGAAGUUUCAAACCAAGUAGAGAUUACUGAAAAUAAUACAUCUGUAUGUAUAAAAUUUGUGUACAUAUACAUGUCCUUGUUCACAUUACCUUCAAAAUUUUUUCUCAGGGAAAACAAAGCUUUAUUGAACAUUGACUAUGUAUCAGGCACAGUACUAGUUGAUUAAUGUGAUUUUAUGUGUCCAGGAAUAAUGCUAGAGACCUAUUUUUAGAUGGUUUAAUUACAAAUGUCCACUUCCUUCUGCUUAGUCCAUGUCCCUUGCACUCCACCUGCUGUUCCAAGUUUGGAGAACGGGUGUUCAAAGCUCAGACACUGAUGGAAGGAUUUAACUACUAUGUCGAUUAGAUAAUAAAAACAAUAGUUUAUAAUCAGCUUGUCAUCAGCUGUAGAGUUAAGUAGUACUAUUCUUUGUAAGCAAAUGAAACCCAUUUUAAUCUAACUGAAGCCAAGAAUAGCAUGUAGUGUGGCUCAGGGGAAAGUAGAGCUAGGCUCUAACAAUGUUAUCUGGACUCUGCCUCUUUCUCUUCAUCUCUCAUUUUAGCUCUUCUCUGGAUUAUGCUCAUGUUCUGACUUCAGUGCAGAAACUUCCUCUGUAUCAUUGGGGUGGAGGGUGGAGGUGAGGUUGUGGCAUGUUCAGCAGUUCCAGAGGGAAAGGUGACCUUGCUCUUCACUUUGGUAAAGGUUCUGACUUCCCUGGCUCAGGUAAUAUGUCUUCCUCCAGGACCAAGCAACAUGGCCAGGGGCUGUGGCACAAUUAUUGUCAGGCCGGGGUCACCUGCAUACUGCUCUGUACUAUGAAGGAUCCCCAUGAGAAUCAAUUGGAAUAGAAGCACAGAGAGGUAAAUUAAUUCACUCAAGAUAACAUAGCUAACAUCUAUCUAGUAGGGUUGUGAUUCAAACCCAAGAUAUUUUGUUUCAGAAUCAGUGCCAGUAUACUUGACAUUAAAAUUACAACAUGAGGGAGUUCCCAUUGUGGUGCAGCAGAAACAAAUCUGACUAGAAACCAUGAGGUUGUGGGUUCGAUCCUUGACCUCGCUCAGUGAGUUAAGGAUCUGGUGUUUCCGUGAGCUGUGGUAUAGGUCGCAGACAUGGCUCGGAUCUGGCAUUUCUGUGACUGUAGCAUAGGCCGGCAGCUGUAGCUCCAAUUAGCCCCCUAGCCUGGGAACCUCCAUAUGCCGCGGGUGCAGCCCU